rnacentral:rRNA from 1 species
UACGGGGGGGGCAAGCGUUGUUCGGAAUUACUGGGCGUAAAGGGCUCGUAGGCGGCCAACUAAGUCAGACGUGAAAUCCCUCGGCUUAACCGGGGAACUGCGUCUGAUACUGGAUGGCUUGAAUCCGGGAGAGGGAUGCGGAAUUCCAGGUGUAGCGGUGAAAUGCGUAGAUAUUGGGAGGAACACCGGUGGCGAAGGCGGCCAUCUGGGAGGGCACUGACGCUGAGACGCGAAAGCGUGGGGAGCAAACAGG